GUCUAGGUGGUGUAGUUGGUUAUCACGUUAGUCUCACACACUAAAGGUCCCCAGUUCGAACCUGGGCUUAGACA
rnacentral:tRNA from 1 species